rnacentral:lncRNA from 1 species
CACAGAGUCUUCUCUUUUGAAGGAGAAGUUUUUGGUGGAUACCCCUGAGAGGCCUUUAAUCUUGCCACAGAAGAUGGCAGGCACGGCGUCUUCAACUGACACAAUGACCUUGGCCGCCUGAGACUCACUUAAGAUCUCAAUGUUAUUUUCAGCCUUCAGCUCACUGCCAGGAUGGCUGGGCUGACUGACCAUCUCAGUGCCGUUGCUGUUGCUGCUGUGGCUCUCCAUCAUGGCUGAGGCUUCAGAACACUUGGCAGGGGCAAAGGGCAUUUCCAUGCCACUGGAAAGUUUCUCCAGUAUGGUGUGACCCUGGAUGUCUGCUGACCCACUGUUGUUAUACAAUGUCUCUGGAGGAGCCUCAGCUUUUCGGUGGGCUGCCAAAGACAGAUCUAGGGCUGCAUCCUCUUGAAAGACUGGGGGGCUAGCUUCCCCAGCCUUGAGCCAGGGCACUGACUUCAUGGACAGAUCCAGGGCCUCAUUCUCACUCCCCAUCUUGAUGACUGUGUGGCGGCUGAGCUGGAAAUACUCCUUUGACUGGAGGAUGUCUAAGGGCUUCAGUUCGUCCUUUUCCAGAGUGGUCUGGGUGCCUUUAAAGGAGUGCAAGCCGAAGGAAGAUGGCGGCUUGGGGAAAGUGGGGCUGAACUUGGAUUCAGUACUCUGAGGCACUGGGACAGGGAUGGGGAUGGGCACUGGAACUGGCAAGGGGACAAUCACAGGAUAGGGCACCAAGAGGGUAGCUGGCGGGACUAGGGGGGACAAGGGGGAGUUAAAGGGCUGGGGAGGCACUGGAGCAUAGCCAGGAGGAGGCUGGCAGGGUGGAGGGCCCAGAGAGCCUUGGGUGGGGAAUAAAUUCUGGAGCACAGCUUCAAAAGGCAAUGCGGGCUCCUGUGGCUGACUUGGGAUCCUCAGGUCCAGGAGCUGAGGCUGGGCCUCAGAGUCCUCAGCCCCCUGGAAGAGGUUGUUGUGGAUAGCAUUGGAGGAGCACGGGGCCUCCUGUGGCAGGACUAGAGGGGAGUUGAGGUGCUGGAAAACAUGCUGUUCCAACACCACUGGUAGCUGCACGGGGCCUUGUGUCGUCAUAACGUAGGUAGCGUUGCCAUUGGGGUUGAGCUCUGGCGCAGAGCUUCCCUCCACCUGCAUGUGAAUGGGCAUCACCACUGGGCUUUCCCCAAGGCACAGGGGCUGCAGCACGGUGGCUGCUACCUUCAGAGCCAUGCCACUCUGGGACUCAGCUGGGGGGUUCAGAAUUGAUGGGGCCGGAACGGUCACCAGGGCCUUCUUUACCAGGAAACUCUACUCCUCAGAGCAAAGGGGAGAGGAAAUGCUUUGCAAGAAUGGUCGUUGAGCCAAUCAGCCUCACCUGUCCAUCUUUCUGACCUGUGGCCUCUACCAGCAUGUGGUUACCAAGAGAAAGGAGUGCUGAUGAGUCUAGAUCUACGGGAAAUAAAAUAUCUGUCG